rnacentral:misc_RNA from 1 species
GCAUCAUCAAGGUGGGUAAAAGAAACAGAAAUGAAUUUACGUCUGAAGAAACGUACAUCUUGAUGUGUGGCAGUGGAAUUAGGAAUAGAAGAAUGGAAAGAAUUGGUAAAGAAGAAUAGGUGUGGAGAUUGAAUGGUACCCAAUGGCCUUUGCAGUUGAAGGUGGAAGCUCCUCCAAGUAGUUGGCAAAAUGCUUCGGUGCGCCAUUAUCAUGGAUCUCUCGUCCGCUCGCCUCUGCAAAUUUUUCAGGUUUAGUUUGGAUGGGAGAGAGGAAAAUUAGAUUAAAUUAAAGGAAAUG